AUUGAACGCUGGCGGCAGGCAUAACACAUGCAAGUCGAACGAGUGGCGGACGGGGGAGUAAUGUCUGGGAAACUGCCUGAUGGAGGGGGAUAACUACUGGAAACGGUAGCUAAUACCGCAUACCAUCAGAUGUGCCCAGAUGGGGUUAGCUAGUUGGGGGGGUAACGGCUCACCAAGGCGACGAUCCCUAGCUGGGCUGAGAGGAUGACCAUCCACACUGGAACUGAGACACGGUCCAUACUCCUACGUGAGUCAGCAGUGGGGAAUAUGGCACAAUGGGCGCAAGCCUGAUGCAGCCAUUCCGCGUGUAUGAAGAAGGCCUUCGGGUUGUAAAGUACUUUCAGCGGGGAGGCGUUACCCGCAGAAGAAGCACCGGCUAACUCCGUGCCAGCAGCCGCGGUAAUUC
rnacentral:rRNA from 1 species